rnacentral:rRNA from 1 species
UACGUAGGGGGCUAGCGUUGUCCGGAAUCAUUGGGCGUAAAGAGCGUGUAGGCGGUCCGGUAAGUCCGCUGUGAAAGUCGGGGGCUCAACCCUCGAAUGCCGGUGGAUACUGCCGGGCUAGAGUGCGGAAGAGGCGAGUGGAAUUCCUGGUGUAGCGGUGAAAUGCGCAGAUAUCAGGAGGAACACCGAUUGCGAAGGCAGCUCGCUGGAACGUUACUGACGCUGAGACGCGAAAGCGUGGGGAGCAAACAGG